UUUUGCCUACGGGAGGCAGCAGUCGGGAAUAUUGCGCAAUGGAGGAAACUCUGACGCAGUGACGCCGCGUAUAGGACGAAGGUCUUCGGAUUGUAAACUAUUGUCGUUAGGGAAGAGAAAGGACAGUACCUAAGGAGGAAGCUCCGGCUAACUACGUGCCAGCAGCCGCGGUAAUACGUAGGUGGCAAGCGUUAUCCGGAUUUACUGGGUGUAAAGGGCGUGUAGGCGGGGACGCAAGUCAGAUGUGAAAACCACGGGCUCAACCUGUGGCCUGCAUUUGAAACUGUGUUUCUUGAUUACUGGAG
rnacentral:rRNA from 1 species